CAGAGGGGAAGUGAAUGACCAACUGGGUAGGCUGAUGAAUAUUUUCCUGGUAAAUGCAUAACUUUCCCCACAACUGUGAUGCUUUAUCCUUUGACAUUAAGAAUGCUGUUUGCAGAAGUAACAUUCCUUUGAACACUCAGCUUUCUGAAAUGGUGUCCCACCGCAAGGACUGGAGAAGGGUAAACCUCAGGUUCUCCUCCUGCCUUUUGCUAAGUAUAUGUCUUGAUGACAAGCCUUCUGCUGAUGAGCUGUGUUUCUGGACCGAUCAUGGUAGAAGUCAAUUAACGUGUCCCUCACUUGGGGUUUCUCAAGGGAGUCUCACUCUGUCGUCCAGGCUGGAGUGCAGUGGCACAAUCUCGGCUCACUGCAAGCUCUGCCUCCCAGGUUCACGCCAUUCUCCUGCCUCAGUCUCCCAACUGCACUGAUGAGGAAACUGAAACAGAAAAUCCAGAGUAAAUUCCACCAGGCCACACAGCAAGGUCUGAUAGAGCCAGGAGAGACUUUAUGAAAUCCAGACUCUCACACUAAUGCUCUAUCAGCUAGACCUCCAUGAACUGAAAAUGAAAGAACCAAAAUAGAUAUCAACAGAUAAUUAAAGGAACGUUUGGAAGUUUUUUACCUCAUGCAAACCUCAAACUCUGAACCACUACUGCCUAAAGGAAAUAAAUACUGUGUUAUGACUUUGAAAAAGUGAAGUGGCCAUGUUAGGAGGCCCAGAUGGUAAGGAGCUGAGGGAGGCCUCCAGGAAAUGGCCAGCAAGAAGCCGGCUCCCUCAGCCUUGUAGCUACAAGAAAAUGAAUUCUGCCAGCAAUCUGAGUGAACUUGGAAGCUGAUUCUUCCUCUGUCAAGCCUCCAGAUGAGAAUCUCAGUCACAGCCAACACCUUGACUGCAGUCCUUAGCAGAGGACUCUGCCAAGCUGUGCCAGGACUCCUGACCUGCAGAAAUUGUGAGUUAGUCAUGCUGCUGAAACCCCGAAUGCUCACCCAGAAGAGUUCCUUUGCAGUGAAAGCCUAAGUGAGAUUGCACCUUCAACUGGCAUCACUCCACCUUACAGGAUCCUGAAAGCUUUCAAAUCCACCUCAAGCCCAGGCAGUGUCAAAGAAGGAGAGGAAUUGAAGAAGCAAAAAUAAAUAUUAAAGUACAUAAGAAUUAAAUAUUACCUUUUUAAAUAGCAAUUAUGCAGUUGAAAACAAGAUCAUCACACCUGUACAAGAAAAGGCAUGCAAGCCCAAAACAUCUGCUUGGAUCCACCUGCCAGGCACCUGUUUUGCUGUUUCAAUGCCAUUUGAUUGCUGGAGAUGUAGAGGCUCUUGUGAGGUAAUGAGUGAUUUUACAUUAUGCAUGAUUGAAAACAGGUGUUCUAAUGCUGCACAAUUCUAUGCAUGAAUAAUUCAGUUUGUUUAGAGCAAGAUCUUUAAAAGAAGUACUGCAUGGGCUUUAUUAUUUCUAUAAACACGAAGGUUAUUUUUUUUAAAGUAUGACGAUUGUUCCUUUGCAGCCAGCUUGUUUAUGGCAAUUUUUGUGUAAUUUUAUGGAUGAGGAAUAAUAUCCUGAAAGGUAAAAUUGAUCACACUUAAAAUAUGUAAGAAGUAAAAUUGAAAGGUCUGUUAGCAAGAGGAAAACAGUAUUAAAAUUCAAUGUUCUAAGUAAAAAU
rnacentral:lncRNA from 1 species